rnacentral:rRNA from 1 species
AUUGAACGCUGGCGGCAGGCCUAACACAUGCAAGUCGAGCGAGCGGCGGACGGGUGAGUAAUGUAUGGGGACUGCCCUAUAGAGGGGGAUAACUACUGGAAACGGUGGCUAAUACCGCAUACUAUCGGAUAACCCAUAUGGGAUUCGCUGGUAGGUGGGGUAAAGGCUCACCUAGGCGACGAUCUCUCACUGGUCUGAGAGGAUGAUCAGCCACACUUGGACGGAGAAACGGCCCAGACUCCGCCGGAGGCGGAAGUGGGGAAUAUUGCACAAUGGGAGAAAGCCUGAUGCAGCCAUGCCGCGUGUAUGAAGAAGGCCUUAGGGUUGUAAAGUACUUUCAGCGGGGAGGCGUUACCCGCAGAAGAAGCACCGGCUAACUCCGUGCCAGCAGCCGCGGUAAUUC